rnacentral:rRNA from 1 species
CACUAUGCCUAGCCAUAAACAUUGAUAGAAAACUACACCCACUAUCCGCCCGGGAACUACGAGCAUCAGCUUGAAACCCAAAGGACUUGGCGGUGCUUUAGAUCCACCUAGAGGAGCCUGUUCUAGAACCGAUUACCCCCGUUCAACCUCACCUUUCCUUGUUUUUCCCGCCUAUAUACCACCGUCGUCAGCUUACCCUAUGAAGGACUUAUAGUAAGCAAGAUUGGCACAGCCCAAAACGUCAGGUCGAGGUGUAGCGUAUGGAAAGGGAAGAAAUGGGCUACAUUCCCUAAUAUAGUGAAAUACGAACGAUACACUGAAAUACGUAUCUGAAGGAGGAUUUAGCAGUAAGCAGAAAAUAGAGCGUUCCGCUGAAACCGGCCCUGAAGCGCGCACACACCGCCCGUCACUCUCCCCGAGCUUAAUAGCCCUUAAUACUUAAAACCUAAAAACUGCAAAGGGGAGGCAAGUCGUAA